rnacentral:rRNA from 1 species
AUUGAACGCUGGCGGAAUGCUUUACACAUGCAAGUCGAACGGUAACAGGUCUUCGGAUGCUGACGAGUGGCGAACGGGUGAGUAAUAUAUCGGAACGUGCCCAGUCGUGGGGGAUAACGUAGCGAAAGUUACGCUAAUACCGCAUACGAUCUACGGAUGAAAGCGGGGGACCGUAAGGCCUCGCGCGAUUGGAGCGGCCGAUGUUAGAUUAGGUAGUUGGUGGGGGGUAAAGGCUCACCAAGCCGACGAUCUAUAAUAGCUGGUCUGAGAGGAUGAUCAACCACACUGGGACUGAGACACGGCCCAGACUCCUACGGGAGGCAGCAGUGGGGAAUUUUGGACAAUGGGCGCAAGCCUGAUCCAGCCAUUCCGCGUGCAGGACGAAGGCCUUCGGGUUGUAAACUGCUUUUGUACAGAACGAAAAGCUCUGGGUUAAUACCUCGGGGUCAUGACGGUACUGUAAGAAUAAGCACCGGCUAACUACGUG